rnacentral:rRNA from 1 species
CUCCGGUUGCUUUAGGCGGACCCGACUGCUAUCAGAGUGGGACUAAGCCAUGUUAGUCAACAUAGCAAUAUGUGGCAUACGGCUCAGUAACACGUAGUCAACAUGCCCAGGGGACGUGGAUAACCUCGGGAAACUGAGGAUAAACCGCGAUAAGUCACUACUUCUGGAAUGGGUAAUGACUCAAAUCUACAUGGCCCCUGGAUUGGACUGCGGCCGAUCAGGCUGUUGGUGAGGUAAUGGCCCACCAAACCUGUAACCGGUACGGGCUCUGAGAGGAGGAGCCCGGAGAUGGGCACUGAGACAAGGGCCCAGGCCCUAUGGGGCGCAGCAGGCGCGAAACCUCUGCAAUAGGCGAAAGCCUGACAGGGUUACUCUGAGUGAUUUCCGUUAAGGAGAUCUUUUGGCACCUCUAAAAAUGGUGCAGAAUAAGGGGUGGGCAAGUCUGGUGUCAGCCGCCGCGGUAAUACCAGCACCCCGAGUGGUCGGGACGUUUAUUGGGCCUAAAGCAUCCGUAGCCGGUUCUACAAGUCUUCCGUUAAAUCCACCUGCUUAACAGAUGGGCUGCGGAAGAUACUAUAGAGCUAGGAGGCGGGAGAGGCAAGCGGUACUCGAUGGGUAGGGGUAAAAUCCGUUGAUCCAUUGAAGACCACCAGUGGCGAAGGCGGCUUGCCAGAACGCGCUCGACGGUGAGGGAUGAAAGCUGGGGGAGCAAACCGGAUUAGAUACCCGGGUAGUCCCAGCUGUAAACGAUGCAGACUCGGUGAUGAGUUGGCUUCUUGCCAACUCAGUGCCGCAGGGAAGCCGUUAAGUUUGCCGACUGGGGACUACGGUCGCAAGACUGAAACUUAAACCAUAAAAAGG